rnacentral:miRNA from 1 species
UUCCGGAUUUGUUGGCCGAACCUUGAAACUCUGAAAGUCCAUACUGAUAAAAAGAGAGCCGACUCAUUUUGAGUCGGCUCUCUUUUUAGGAAACUUGAUGCGGUUGCUCUGCCGAAACGUGCAAUGCGAUUCCGGCAAAGUAACUCACUGUUUAU